UUUUGCACCCUGCUCUAGGAGGAGGAGGUGGAUGUGGAGUAGGAGGUUGAGGAGGCGGUGACCGUGGCGGCGACGACGCAUUCAGGUGACUGCCCUAUCAACUUUUGAUGUUACUUUCUGCGCCUACCAUGGUGACCACGGGUAACUGGGAAUCAGGGUUCGAUUCCGGAGAGAGAGUCUGAGAAACAUCUACCACAUCCAAGGAAGGCAGCAGGCAGGCAAAUUACCCACUCCCGACGCGGGGAGGUA